CCUACGGGAGGCAGCAGUGGGGAAUAUUGGGCAAUGGGCGCAAGCCUGAUCCAGCAACGCCGCGUGAAGGAAGAAGGCAUUCGGGUCGUAAACCUCUUUUAAGAGGGAAGAGAAGAAGACGGUACCGCUUGAAUAAGCCACGGCUAAUCACGUGCCAGCAGCAGCGGUAAUACGUAGGUGGCAAUCGUUGUCCGGAUUUACUGGGUGUAAAGGGCGUGGAGCCGGGCCUGCAAGUCUGAUGUGAAAUCCCGAGGCUGAACCUUGGAACUGCAUUUGAAACUGUUGGUCUUGAGUAUUGGAGAGGCAAGCGGAAUUCCUAGUGUAGCGGUGAAAUGCGUAGAUAUUAGGAGGAACACCAGUGGCGAAGGCGGCCUGCUGGACGGUAACUGACGGUGAGGCGCGAAAGCGUGGGGAGCAAACAGGAUUAGAUACCCGGGUAGUC
rnacentral:rRNA from 1 species